rnacentral:rRNA from 1 species
UACGUAGGGUGCGAGCGUUAAUCGGAAUUACUGGGCGUAAAGCGUGCGCAGGCGGUUCGUUAAGUCAGAUGUGAAAUCCCCGGGCUUAACCUGGGAACUGCAUUUGUGACUGCAUAGCUAGAGUACGGUAGAGGGGGAUGGAAUUCCGCGUGUAGCAGUGAAAUGCGUAGAUAUGCGGAGGAACACCGAUGGCGAAGGCAAUCCCCUGGACCUGGUACUGACGCUCAUGCACGAAAGCGUGGGGAGCAAACAGG